CGUGUGUCAGGGAAUAGGUACAAGUGCGACGGAGGAAACUUAUGAAGGCUUGAAAUGAGAAAAAGCAAUUUAUAACAAAAUGAUGUUACUAGGUAUAUAUGUGUUCAUUCAGCUGAUAAAUUUUAGAUGCUUAUGCAAAAAUGCAAGACUGAGACAGCGAUGGGAAUUCUCCCCUGGAAUGUGGUAUUUGCGAAAAGAAAUUCCUUUUACGGUGUGGGCUUCAACGUCAUUUGUCGUCACAUGAAACAACAAACUACCAGGAUACAUGAUUUGUUCAUUAAAACUGUUGUUGUUUUUUCUCCAAAUAAUUGUACACAUGUUAUAUCUGAAACAUUUGGAAUAAAUUAACUUAAUUCGUUUAAAA